GGGAUUGGAUUGUGGGGGCUCGUGGAGGGGCGGGUGCCGCCCCGGAGCUGAGCUGACGUCCCGACGAAUCAGAAGAGUUGGGGUCCCAAGCCUGGGUCUGAGGGGAUGGAGACCGAGGCUGGGCUGGCUGCGGGUCCUAAGGGGCUGAGGGAGCUGUCCGCCUCUGGGUGCUGAUCAGGGCUGGUUGGAGCUGUCCCACAAAGGGUGCUGAUUGGGCCGCCGGAGAUUUCUCCCUAAAACGUGCUGACUGGGCUGGAGGAGCUAUUUCCCUGACGGGAGCUGAUCACAGCUGAAGGAGCUGCUCUCCCAAAUCUUGCUGAUCGGUGCUGGACAGAGACAUCUGACCAGGGAUACUGAGCUGGCUGGAUUCGAAGUUAAUCACACAGGAUGCUUGAUUGAGACUAACACGGAACUUUCAGGACACAGUACAGACUACGCAGACUGGACCGAGGUACUGUUGGGAAUUGGGUGAUAACCCUGAGGCUAUGUUCAUUCAACUAGAAAAACUAUUUCUUGAGCACCAACUAUGUGAUUGGCAUUGUUCAGGAUACUGACGUGUUCUGGUUGUUGCGGAGCUGUGUGGGGAGAGCGAUGGUUGAAAUGGAGCUCAAAGAGUUAGAUUAGGUCAGGGUCAGCAGGUAUCGGGGCAGAGGGAGGGCAGAUCAGUGUUAUGAGUACAGUUGACACAGACAGGUUGGAGGGGCAGUUUAGGGAGACAUUGUGGAGAAGACUUGGCUAAAGAAGGAAGCUGGAGUUUCAACAAGAGUGCCAUGAAAUCAACAGUCUUCAACUCUUUCAACUCUAGCAACCUCUCCCAUAAAGAGCCUCAGGAUUUACUUCUGCCUGGAAUUGCACCAACUUUGAAUCCUUAUAUGUCUAAAUUCCGUCUCAAAUGAUCACUCCUACAAUCCUCUUCAAGCCUCUCCACUUACUUCCCUCCCUCUUAUCAGAUGAUACACCUGCGGAUUCCAGGAGUAUAAAGGUCAUGAAGUUGGGGCUCCCACUCCUAAUUUUACCUGUGAAGUCUUCCGUUUGCCCCCAGAGCACAAAUGGAAGGUCACCAGCCUUAGAGUCUGAGAGAUUGUGGUACUAAUCUUUAUCUUGCCAUCAAUUCUCUGAACAUGGGAAAGUUACUCAAUCCUACGGACCCGUUUCUUCAUCUAUACACUGAUGCUAUGAGGAUCAUGUGAGAUAACACAUGUAAAGCUCUAGGCAUGGACCCAGAUCCCAAUCAUGAUCAUUCAAUAUUCCUUCUCUCCCUGCUCCUCACCCUGGGACCCGUUUCCUCCCAAACCCUCAGGACUCUGCUCUUUCCAUCUCAGAGAUACAUUGAUAUGAAAAGGCAAAGUCUCCUGAAGGGGUUUAUGCUCCUUACAUCUCCUACAUUUCUUCAAAUCUACACGUCACCUCAUGUGAUCCUCAUAGCAUCCUUGUAUGGAUGAAAUAACAGAUCCAGAGAGAGAGCUGAUCAAUCGCUCCUUGAAGUUCUUUCUUCCCUCAGCCUGUGGGUCCCAUGCACUAUUGGUUUUCUUCUUGCCUUCCUAACCACCCAUUGUCAGUGUCCUUCCAGACUCCUUUUCCUUCCCUUAAACAACUCCACCACUUUAAUAAUUCGGUUUCCUCUAUGGUCCACUAAUGGUAUGGACAGUUACUACAAAACACAAAAUUGACUGGACUUACGUGGGAAAAUUGAAAUAGCAACACAGUUUCAGCAAUCCUCAGCACAGAUCAAUUCUAAAAAAUCAGAGGACGUUUCCUGACAAUUUUCUCAUAGAUUAGAAAAUAAGUAAGUGCAAACUAAUCUGCUUUUAUUCUGUUCAUAUACCAUAGAAGUCCCACACACAAAAAAAGCAAAAAUGCCAAUGGCUGAAACUAUGAACAGAAAUCUAUAAAAAGGAUGAAAAGCUUAAGAGCCACACUUUAUGGGGAAUGCUGUCAUAACCAAUAACUUCACCACCUCCUGAAUUUUUUUAAUGUUUAUUUAUUUUUGAGAGAGAGAGAGAGAGAGAGAGAGAGAGAGAGUGGGGG